GCAUGAGGUGGUGUCCUAGGCAAUUGCUUAUCCUCACCUACCCCUUGUCCUGGCCCUGGGCAGGGGAGCAGGGAAGAUCAGACCAGACCUGUCACAUUAGUCGACGCAGACAAAAUAGCGGUGGUCUCUGCGGAGAGUCCUGCUCGCAGUAUCAUGCCUGAACGAUACCAAUUGGUAGUGCGGUGCCGUUCCAUUAAUGACAAUGGCCAGGAGCAGAGGAAAGUGACAAAUGAGCCGUAAUCUAAACAUAGCAAGUUGGAGGUCUCCCGCUGAGAGUAUAAGGAAAAUAUGUUCCGGCACGGAGAUUUCCCCGCCACAGCCAAAUGAAUGACAACAAGAUUAAGGAACGGGGAUGUUUUUUUUUUUUAUUAUUGUUUUUAUUGUAUUAUUUAUAAAAUUCCAUACAAAAAUAUCCACAAAUAUUCAUUCAUUUACAAUAAUUUGUUUCCACCAGGAGGAAUCCCCAAAACAUAAGGGGGGGAAUUUAUCAUUGGUUUUUAGCUUUUAUUUUUGUGUAUAUUUUGUUGUAUAAUGCUGCAAUUUAAAGAAGAAAAAAAAACUAACAUCAA